rnacentral:lncRNA from 1 species
AUGUGUACUGACAUCUCUUCAAAUGGGAACGUUCAUUUGUGCUUUCAAGAAAAUCCAAUGUGCACGUUGAUCAGGAUGCUCGCCAGUGACUCCCGGCCACACCGUGGUGUGCCCCCGGCCGCCUCCUCUGGCCCCCGAGAGUCUCCGGGGCGUGGCUCUGGGGACACUGCCCCCUGCACCCCCUUGCGUCUUCAGGGCACAGGUGCACAGUGCCGCAGAGAGCAGAAGGGGAAAGAGAGAAAUCCACAGGGAAAUGAUCAGUUGGCUCUUGGCCAAAGUGUGAGUGUGCUUGUUCCGCCCGCAUUUCAUCAGCAGAAGAUGCCUGGUAACGAACAGGAGUGGAGCGGAGUGGGAGAGACAUCCACACCCAGUCCAUGACUGCAGGUAACUUACCCCAUUUUUAUGAUUUUUAAGCAUCUCAUUAGAUAAAUAAGGUUAAUACUCUGGAGCUGAUAGGGCUGGCUGUAAAGAUUAAAUUAGGUAAUAAAAAGAACAGGGCUCAGUGUCUUCACGUACAAGGCACACGGCAACCACUCUCAUUCUUUCCCCCCUGGGACGAAGAGGAGCAAAAUGUAAGAACAGAAUAGAGGAACAGAAUUGUUGUGUAGUACUGUGUCUUCACAGCCUCUGAAAAACAUGAGCUCUUAUCUUGAAAUUGAAGCUGUAUUCAUAGUCACAGGCAGAGAAAUCCUGAAAUGACUUAAAUGAUUGGAAACAAAUCCUGAAUUGUCUUAUUGCAUUGCUGUGAUUAUUGACAUAUGUGAGAAUCGACUCUUGAGUUUUAGUCUCCC